rnacentral:rRNA from 1 species
UCUGGUUGAUCCUGCCUGAACUGAUGUGUUUAUUUCAAAGAUUAAGCCAUGCAUGUAUAAGUUUAAUCGUUUAUCGAGAAACCGCGAACGGCUCAUUACAAUGCCAUUAUUUACUUGAUCUUGAUUGUCUAAAUGGAUAACUGUGGAAAAGCUAGAGCUAAUACAUGCACUAAAGCUUUGUCCUUACGGAAAAGCGCAUUUAUUAGAACAAAACCACGCGGUUCGGCUGCUUCUUGUUGACUCAGAAUAACUUAGCUGACCGCAUGGCCUUGUGCCGGCGGCGUGUCUUUCAAGCGUCCACUUUAUCAACUUGACGGGAGCAUAAUCGACUCCCGUGGUGGUGACGGAUAACGGAGGAUCAGGGUUCGACUCCGGAGAAGGGGCCUGAGAAAUGGCCACUACGUCUAAGGAUGGCAGCAGGCGCGCAAAUUACCCACUCUCGGCUCGAGGAGGUAGUGACGAGAAAUAACGAGACUGUUCUCUUGAGGCCGGUCAUCGGAAUGGGUACAAUUUAAACCCUUUAACGAGUAUCAAGCAGAGGGCAAGUCUGGUGCCAGCAGCCGCGGUAAUUCCAGCUCUGCAAAUACAUAGAAUUAUUGCUUGCGGUUAGAAAGCUCAUAGUUGGAUUCGUAUCGAUACCUUGGAACCCUUCGGGUCUCUAGGUGUUAUCGAUUUAUCGUAAUGUUCGGUUUUGAGUCCUUAACAGGAUUCUUAACAGGCAUUGCAAGUUUACUUUGAACAAAUCAGAGUGCUUCAAACAGGCGUUUUUCGCUUGAAUGAUCGUGCAUGGAAUAAUAGAAAAUGAUUUCGGUUCAGUUUUAUUGGUUUUACGGACUGAGAUAAUGGUUAACAGAGACAAACGGGGGCAUUUGUAUGGUCCGUGAGAGGUGAAAUUCUUGGACCGUGGCCAGACAAACUACAGCGAAAGCAUUUGCCAAGAAUGUUUUUAUUAAUCAAGAACGAAAGUCAGAGGUUCGAAGGCGAUCAGAUACGCCCUAGUUCUGACCGUAAACGAUGCCAACUAGCGAUCCGCCGAUGGAAAUUAUAUUGCCUUGGUGGGGAGCUUCCCGGAAACGAAAGUCUUCCGGUUCCGGGGGAAGUAUGGUUGCAAAGCUGAAACUUAAAGGAAUUGACGGAAGGGCACCACCAGGAGUGGAGCCUGCGGCUUAAUUUGAC